UAUGUGAUCGUCUCUCGCAUAUCAAUAAGCGGAGGAAAAGAAACUAACAAGGAUUCCCUUAGUAACGGCGAGUGAAGCGGGAAGAGCUCAAAUUUGAAAUCUUCAAGGUUUUACCUUGACGAAUUGUAGUUUAAAGAAGUGUUUUCUGUUGAAGUUUUGGUAAAAGUUCUUUGGAAUAGGACAUCAUAGAGGGUGAGAAUCCCGUAUUUGACCAUUAUUUUCAGCUGUGUGAUACACUUUCAAAGAGUCGGAUUGUUUGGGAAUGCAGUCCAAAAUGGGUGGUAAAUUUCAUCUAAAGCUAAAUAUUGGCGAGAGACCGAUAGCGAACAAGUACCGUGAGGGAAAGAUGAAAAGAACUUUGAAAAGAGAGUUAAACAGUACGUGAAAUUGUCAAAAGGGAAGCGUUUGACACCAGUGUUGUUUUCUCGAAAAUCAAUUAAAAAGAGUUAGAUUUUGUUGUGUAUUGACCUUAACAGCUUGCAUUUCAAUUUUCUUGCUUUUUUUAAUGCACUUUUCGUUUAACAAGUCAACUAAUCAGUUUCUUUUGUUGUAAAAAGGUCAUUGGAAGGUGGCUUUCUUUUCGGAGAAAGUGUUUAUAGCCUUUGACUCCUGCAAUCGGAGAGACUGAGGUCUGCAGCGUAGAUCCUUCGGGGUUAGAUACAUUUGUGCUAAGUUAUAGCUUUUUAUAGACAACUUGUUGACUAUGAUUAGUCUUGUAGCUUACUCGCUUAUGCUAUUUUACCUACGCUUAGGAUGUUGAAGAUGUAGCACAUCAU
rnacentral:rRNA from 1 species